GGGCGCAUGGCCUAGCAUGGAUAGGGCGGCAGCCUCCUAAGCUGUAGGUCGGGGGUCCAAAUCCCCCUGCGCCCG
rnacentral:tRNA from 1 species